GAUGAACGCUGGCGGCGUGCCUAAUACAUGCAAGUCGAGCGAACGGACGAGAAGCUUGCUUCUCUGAUGUUAGCGGCGGACGGGUGAGUAACACGUGGAUAACCUACCUAUAAGACUGGGAUAACUUCGGGAAACCGUAGCUAAUACCGGAUAAUAUUUUGAACCGCAUGGUUCAAAAGUGAAAGACGGUCUUGCUGUCACUUAUAGAUGGAUCCGCGCUGCAUUAGCUAGUUGGUAAGGUAACGGCUUACCAAGGCAACGAUGCAUAGCCGACCUGAGAGGGGGCCCGCCCCCCGGGGGACCGGGACACGGUCCAACCUCCUACGGGAGGGAGGCGUAGGGAAGCUUCCGCAAGGGGAGAAAGCCUGACGGGGCAACGCCGCGUGAGUGAAGAGGGUCUUCGGAUCGAAAACCUCUUUUAUUAGGAAAGAACAUAUGUGUAAGUAACGGUGCACCUCUUGGCGGUACCUAAUCAGAAAGCCCCGGCUAACUA
rnacentral:rRNA from 1 species